AUGUCGGAAUGAGGAGGAAAGGAAAGCAUAUUAUAAUAAUUAUAUAUCUGGCAGAUUAAAAGAUUGCCGAGAAAAACAAGAAAGAAAGAGAUUAUUGAUGAUCCGAAGAACCUGUUCUGUCUGAAUUCCUCGCAAUAAGAAGAAGAUGAUACAUUGGUUUAAGCAGCUGCGAUAUGAUCAGCGUUUGGCGUCGCGUUUCUAUGGCUCGUUUGUCUUAUUUACUUCACUCAGGGCUUUAGAUCUUUCGGAUGGACAGAUGUUUCAUACCAGCUCAAAGACAGGCUUCAGUUAUCACCAUCAGCUUCUCAGUUUGUCUAUUCUGUUGCCUUCUUCUCAUGGAGCAUUAAACCAUUAUACGGAAUCAUCUCAGAUUGUAUACCAAUCGGAGGUAAAAAGAGGACGCCGUAUCUGUUGAUAUCCAUGAAUAUUGGAUCAGCCAUGGCUGAUGUUGUCAUAGAUGCCACGAUAGCUGAGGCAGUAAGAGCUGAGAGUCUGUUUCAGGGUGUGCUAUGGCUGUUGGUGGAAUAUGCGGUAGUUUAUUAGGAGGCUAUGCGUUGAACAAUUUUAAGAUGGAAACAAUCUGCCUCCUCUUCACGGUACUACCUGCUUUACAACUACUAUCAAGUAUU